rnacentral:rRNA from 1 species
GCAGUCGAGCGACGGAUAAGGAGCUUGCUCCUUUGAAGUUAGCGGCGGACGGGUGAGUAACACGUGGGUAACCUACCUAUAAGACUGGAAUAACUUCGGGAAACCGGAGCUAAUGCCGGAUAACAUUUGGAACCGCAUGGUUCUAAAGUAAAAGAUGGUUUUGCUAUCACUUAUAGAUGGACCCGCGCCGUAUUAGCUAGUUGGUAAGGUAACGGCUUACCAAGGCAACGAUACGUAGCCGACCUGAGAGGGUGAUCGGCCACACUGGAACUGAGACACGGUCCAGACUCCUACGGGAGGCAGCAGUAGGGAAUCUUCCGCAAUGGACGAAAGUCUGACGGAGCAACGCCGCGUGAGUGAUGAAGGUUUUCGGAUCGUAAAACUCUGUUAUUAGGGAAGAACAAAUGUGUAAGUAACUGUGCACAUCUUGACGGUACCUAAUCAGAAAGCCACGGCUAACUACGUGCCAGCAGCCGCGGUAAUACGUAGGUGGCAAGCGUUAUCCGGAAUUAUUGGGCGUAAAGCGCGCGUAGGCGGUUUCUUAAGUCUGAUGUGAAAGCCCACGGCUCAACCGUGGAGGGUCAUUGGAAACUGGGAAACUUGAGUACAGAAGAGGAAAGUGGAAUUCCAUGUGUAGCGGUGAAAUGCGCAGAGAUAUGGAGGAACACCAGUGGCGAAGGCGACUUUCUGGUCUGUAACUGACGCUGAUGUGCGAAAGCGUGGGGAUCAAACAGGAUUAGAUACCCUGGUAGUCCACGCCGUAAACGAUGAGUGCUAAGUGUU